rnacentral:misc_RNA from 1 species
UAAUAAGUGUUUUAUGGCACUUUUUAAAUCCAUAGUCCACCUUCGUGUGCAAUGUCAGUCGAUCUUCUUCAUGGAGAUCGACCAAACAUCAACCUUUAUCUUUUAACUCUUUGUCUGAAAAAUAUUAUGAAUAAACAAUUCAAAAUAC